GACGAACGCUGGCGGCGUGCUUAACACAUGCAAGUCGAACGGAAAGGCCCUGCUUUUGUGGGGUGCUCGAUUGGCGAACGGGUGAGUAACACGUGAGUAACCUGUCCUUGUCUUUGGGAUAACUUCAGGAAACUGGGGCUAUUACCCGAUAGGAGAUCCUGCAGCAUGGUGGGGGUUGGAAAGUUUCGGCGGUUGUGGAUGGACUCGCGGCUUAUCAGCUUGUUUGUGAGGUAGUUGCUUACCAAGGGUAUGACGGAUAGCCGGCCUGAGAGGGUGGCCAGGCACAAUGGUACUGCGGUACGGACCAGAAGGCUACGUGAGGCAGCAGUGGGGAGUAUUACACAGUGGGCGGAAGCCUGAUGCGACGGCGCCGCGUGCGUGAUGACGUCCUUCGAGUUAUAAACCGCUGUCGCCUGAGACGUAGCGUGAGUGACGGUAAUGGGUAAAGAAGCACCGGCUAACUACGUG
rnacentral:rRNA from 1 species